AUUGAACGCUGGCGGCAUGCCUUACACAUGCAAGUCGAACGGCAGCGCGGACUUCGGUCUGGCGGCGAGUGGCGAACGGGUGAGUAAUAUAUCGGAACGUACCCAGGAGUGGGGGAUAACGUAGCGAAAGUUACGCUAAUACCGCAUACGUCCUAAGGGAGAAAGCAGGGGAUCGCAAGACCUUGUGCUCAUGGAGCGGCCGAUAUCUGAUUAGCUAGUUGGUGGGGUAAAAAGCCUACCAAGGCAACGAUCAGUAGCUGGUCUGAGAGGACGACCAGCCACACUGGAACUGAGACACGGUCCAGACUCCUACGGGAGGCAGCAGUGGGGAAUUUUGGACAAAUGGGGGGCAACCCUGAUCCAGCAAUGCCGCGUGAGUGAAGAAGGCCCUCGGGUUGUAAAGCUCUUUUGUCAGGGAAGAAAAGGCUGUGGCUAAUAUCCACGGCUCAUGACGGUACCUGAAGAUAAGCACCGGCUAACUACGUGCCAG
rnacentral:rRNA from 1 species